CCAGGUGAUCAUUGGUGAUUUUUAGCAAUAAAGUAUUUUUUAAAUUAAGGUUUGCAUAUAUGGUCAGGCCACUGAAGUUGUCUUUUCUCUUACUCUCUGUACAUCCCCUGCCCCCCCAGUACACCUAUGCAUAUGACUAGCCUUCUCUGUACUUGUCUGAGGUCCCAGCUGGUGAUCUUUCCUAUCAAAGGAGUGGUUAGGGGCAUGCCCCUCUACUGCUUUCCCUGUUAAGUAGAGCAGGGAAAUGAACUCCCCUAUAACUGGCAAAAUCCCCCCAACCCCCGCUUCCCCAUCCCCUAGUCCCCAGUCCCCCCAUCCCUCCCAGGAUGAAGCCUGCCACCAUGUACUUCCUGCCACCAGCGCACCACACAUGGGGUAGUGUCACUCCAGGACCUUGCUUCAGACGUGUAAGUGCCCCCAUCCAUGAAGCUAGUGAUGUCUCUGUUGCUGACACCAGUUUCUUUCUUUGUCUUGAAGCUGGGCAGACAUCGGCCUUGUAGCCUGCAGGGUCCAGUUUGACAAUCGGUGGCAGCAGCCAGGAGGCCACAGAAACUCUUAAAUUGAGGACUCGAGUUCCAAGCAGCCUAAUCAGAGGGGCGAGCAAGACGGCAAAGGACAGAAGCCUGUUGAAAUUUUACUCAGUGGCUGAGUAAUCCAGAUGGAGGCUGGUCUCUGUACCAGUGCUUGAAGCCCAAGAUGGAAUCAAGAUUGCCAGGAGAAAUACUAAAACCUCACAUAGACAGAUGACACCACCUUUAUGGCAGAAAGUGAAGAGGACCUAAAGAGCCUCUUGAUGAAAGUGAAAGAAGAGAGUGAAAAGCUGGCUUAAAACUCAACAUUCAAAAAACUAAGAUCAUGGCAUUCGGUCCCAUCACUUCAUGACAAAUAGAUGGGGAAACAGUGGAAAGAGUGAGAGACUUUAUUUUCUUGGGCUUCAAGAUUACUGAAGAUGGUGACUGCAGCCAUGAAAUUAAAAGACGCUUGCUCCUUGGAAGAAAAGCUAUGACCAACCUAGAUAGCAUAUUAAAAAGCAGAGACAUUACUUUACUUACAAAGGUUUGUCUAGACAAAGCUAUGGUUUUUCUAGUAGUCACGUAUUGGAUGUGAGAGUUGGACCAUAAAGAAAGCCGAGUGCCGAAGACUUGAUGCUUUUGAACUGUGGUGCUGUAGAAGACUCUUGAGAGUCUCUUGGACUAGAGGAAAUCAAACCAGUCAAUCCUAGAGGAAAUCAGUCCUGAAUAUUCAUUGGAAGGAUUGAUGCUGAAGCUGAAGCUCCAGUACGUUGGUCACCUGAUGUGAAGAACUAACUCCUUGGGAAAGACCCUGAUGCUGAGAAAGAUUGAAGGCAGGAGGAGAAGGGCAUGACAGAGGAUGAGAUGGUUGGAUGGCAUCACCAACUCGAUGGACAUGAGUUUGAGCAAGCGUUGGUGAUGCACAGGGAAGCCUGGCAUGCUGUAGUCCAUGGGAUCACAGAGUCAGAUAUGAUUAAGCGACUGAACUGAACUGAUAGGGAAAACUAAAAUUGAGACAAAAGAGAACAACUAUUAAGCCAACAGAGAUAAAACAGAAAAUAGAAUCAUAUUUAAGGUCAAUUAAUUCAAGAGAGGGGGCUUCCCUGGUGGCUCAGACAGUAAAGGAUCUGCCUGCGAUGAGGGAGAAUCAGGUUCGAUCCCUGGGUUGGGAAGAUGCCCUAGUGAAGGGGACAGCUACUCCAGUAUCCUUGCCUGGAGAAUUCCAUGGACAGAGGAGCCUGGUAAGCUACAGUCCAUGGGGUCACAAAGAGUUAGACACAACUGAGGAGCUAACACACACAGACACACACACACACAACACACAAUCCCAGAGGAGGCAGAAAAUUAAGAAAAGAACAAAGUCACCAUAACAAUUAAACAUAAAUAAGGAGAGAGUGAUUCUGUGGAAGUAUUUCCUCACAGCCAGGAGACUUGCCAAAAGUCAAGGAAAUAGGAAAUCUAUAAAGAAAAUAAGAAAAAGCAAGAAUUUGUUUAAAGAAAAAGUUAAAUAAAUUAUAGAACUCUAGCCAGACUGAUCUAGCUAAAAAGAGGAAAAAAUUUACCACACUACUACUAUUCAACCCUCAAUCUACACCAGUCUGGUUUCUGCCCUACUUUUCUGCCAAACCAGAUCUUACUAAAGUCACCAAAGGCAUCUGUGCUUCCCGAGCCAUUGGAUAGUUUAACCCUGUGUGAAAAUGGUAGUUGCUCAGUUGUGUCUGACUCUUUACGACACCAUGGACUAUAACCCGCCAGGCUCCUCUAUCCAUGGGGAUUCUCCAGGCAAGAAUACGGGAGUGGGUUGCCAUGCCCUCCUCCAGGGGAUCUUCCCAACCCAGGAAUCAAACCAGCAUCUCAUGCAUUAUAGGCAUAUUGUUUACCAGCUGAGCUACCAGGGA